UAGGACAAAGAAGUACAGAACAAAGUAGAG
rnacentral:piRNA from 2 species